rnacentral:rRNA from 1 species
CAGUAGCCACGGUAAAACGAAGGGUGCAAGCGUUAAUCGGAAUUACUGGGCGUAAAGCGUGCGUAGGCGGUUUGUUAAGUCUGUUGUGAAAUCCCCGGGCUCAACCUGGGAAUGGCAAUGGAUACUGGCAAGCUAGAGUGUGUCAGAGGAUGGUGGAAUUCUCGGUGUAGCGGUGAAAUGCGUAGAGAUCGGGAGGAACAUCAGUGGCGAAGGCGGCCAUCUGGGACAACACUGACGCUGAGGCACGAAAGCGUGGGGAGCAAACAGGAUUAGAUACCCCGGUAGUCCCUGUCUCUUAUAC